rnacentral:rRNA from 1 species
UACGUAGGGGGCUAGCGUUGUCCGGAAUCAUCGGGCGUAAAGCGCGUGUAGGCGGUCCGGUAAGUCCGCUGUGAAAGUCGGGGGCUCAACCCUCGGAUGCCGGUGGAUACUGUCGGGCUUGAGUACGGAAGAGGCGAGUGGAAUUCCUGGUGUAGCGGUGAAAUGCGCAGAUAUCAGGAGGAACACCGAUGGCGAAGGCAGCUCGCUGGGACGGUACUGACGCUGAGGCGCGAAAGCGUGGGGAGCAAACAGG